rnacentral:rRNA from 1 species
GACGAACGCUGGCGGCGUGCCUAAUACAUGCAAGUCGAACGCAGUGGGGACGGGUGAGUAACACGUGGGUAACCUCCCAUCAGAGGGGAUAACACUUGGAAACAGGUGCUAAACCGAUACUGAUGGAUGGACCCGCGGUGCAUUAGCUAGUUGGUGAGGUACCGGCUCACCAAGGCCACGAUGCAUAGCCGACCGUAGAGGGUGAGCGGCACCAUUGGGUCUGAGACACGGCCCAGACGCCUACGGGAGGCAGCAGUAGGGAAUCUUCGGCAAUGGACGAAAGUCUGACCGAGCAACGCCGCGUGAGUGAAGAAGGUUUUCGGAUCGUAAAACUCUGUUGUUAGAGAAGCGGUAUCUAACCAGAAAGCCACGGCUAACUACGUGCCAGCAGCCGCGGUAAUAC